rnacentral:rRNA from 1 species
GUAUAAACUAUAGUCUAAAUAUAUAUAUAUAUACAUAAUCAAUCAAAUAAAACAUUCUACCAUUUUAGUAUAGGUGAUAGAAAAAUUAAAUUGAACUAUAGAAAUAGUACUGUAAAGGAAAUAUGAAAUAGAAAUGAAAUAAUACUUUAACAAAAAGAAGAAGAGCUAAUCACUCGUACCUUUUGCAUAAUGGUUUAACAAGUUUAAAUAUAGCAAAAAGAAAUUAAGUUAUUUACCCCGAAACUAGACGAGCUACUUAAGAGCAACAAUAAUGUGUUAACCCUUCUCUGUGGCAAAAGAGUGGGAAGACUUAUAAGUAGCGGUGAUAAACCUAACGAGCCUAGUGAUAGCUGGUUACUCAAAAAAUGAAUUUAAGUUCAGCUUAAAGUUUUUAUAAAAAAUAAUAAUAAAUAAUACUUUAAAGUUAAUUAAUAAAGGUACAGCUUUAUUAAUAAAGAAUACAACCUAAAUAAUAAAUAAAGAUUAUAAUAAAUAAAGAAAUUACCCCUGUUGGCCUAAAAGCAGCCACCUGAAAAGAAAGCGUCAUAGCUCAAUUUAUCAAAUUCUUAUUAUAAAAUUAAAAAAUCUAAAUUUACUUUUCCUAUUGAGCUAAUCUAUUUAUAGAUGUAUUAAUGUUAAAAUGAGUAACGAGAAAUAUCUCUAUAUGCACAUAUCAAUCAGAACGAAAUAAUCACUGAUAAUUAACAAAUUUUCAUAAAUAUUCAAGAAAUAUAUAUUAAUAUUGUUAAACCAACACAGGGGCAUAAAAGAAAGAUUAAAAAUUAAAAAAGGAACUCGGCAACCAAAGAUUUCGCCUGUUUACCAAAAACAUCGCCUCUUGCAAUUAAAGUAUAAAAGGUCCUGCCUGCCCAGUGAUAUUAAUUAAACGGCCGCGGUAUUAUGACCGUGCAAAGGUAGCGUAAUCACCUGUCUUUUAAAUAAAGACCAGUAUGAAUGGCAAAACGAAAAUCCACCUGUCUCUUUUAAUUAAUCAGUGAAAUUAAUCUUCCCGUGCAGAAGCGGGAAUAUAAUCAUAAGACGAGAAGACCCUAUGGAGCUUUAAACUUCUAUUAAUUAUACCAUAAAUAAAUCAAAAGACAAAAAAUAUAAACUAUAAUAUAUUAAAAAGUUUUCGGUUGGGGCGACCACGGAAAAACAAAACUUCCGAGAUGAAUAUAUUAGAAAAACAUUUCAAAAUUUAAAAUAUUUAACAUAAUUGAUCCAAUAUUUGAUCAACGAACCAAGUUACCCUAGGGAUAACAGCGCAAUCCUCUCUAAAAGCUCAUAUCGACGAGUGGGUUUACGACCUCGAUGUUGGAUCAGGACACCCAAAUGGUGUAACCGCUAUUAAAGGUUCGUUUGUUCAACGAUUAAAGUCCUACGUGAUCUGAGUUCAGACCGGAGUAAUCCAGGUCAGUUUCUAUCUAUAAAUAAAUUUUUCCUAGUACGAAAGGACCGGAAAAAUAGAGCCAAUUAAUAUUAAAGCUCUUUAUAUAUUAUUGUAAACAACUAAAAUAAUUUAAAAUAAAUUAAAUUAACCUAAAAUAAAGGCCU